rnacentral:rRNA from 1 species
CGCGUGAGGAACCUGCCUUUCAGUGGGGGACAACAGUUGGAAACGACUGCUAAUACCGCAUAACAUAUCUACAUCGCAUGGUGUGGAUAUCAAAGAUUUAUCGCUGAGAGAUGGCCUCGCGUCUGAUUAGCUAGUUGGUAGGGUAACGGCCUACCAAGGCGACGAUCAGUAGCCGGACUGAGAGGUUGGCCGGCCACAUUGGGACUGAGAUACGGCCCAGACUCCUACGGAAGGCAGCAG